rnacentral:lncRNA from 1 species
AAAGGCAAAAGCAUGUCUAUUUGCAGCUGUAUCUCCUAUGGUAUUCACAAGAAUAAUGUCCUUGAAGUCAGCAAAAGAAAUCUGGGAUUACCUCAAGGCAGAAUAUGAAGGUGAUGAGAGGAUGGUGAUGAGAGGAUUCGUGGAAUGCAAGUGCUAAAUCUAAUCAGGGAGUUUGAACUGCAGAGAUGGAGGAGUCAUGAGAGGAUGGUGAUGAGAGGAUUCGUGGAAUGCAAGUGCUAAAUCUAAUCAGGGAGUUUGAACUGCAGAGAUGGAGGAGUCAUGAGAGGAUGGUGAUGAGAGGAUUCGUGGAAUGCAAGUGCUAAAUCUAAUCAGGGAGUUUGAACUGCAGAGAUGGAGGAGUCAGAAUCCAUAAAAGAGUACUCUGACAGACUUCUAAGCAUUGCCAACAAAGUGAGGUUGCUUGGAUCUCUGUUAAAAGAUUCAAGAAUUGUGGAAAAACUACUUGUAACGGUUUCAGAGAGGUUUGAAGCCACCAUAACAACCCUAGAGGACCUAUCAAAAAUUUCUCUUGCAGAGCUCUUAAAU